AACGAACGCUGGCGGCAGGCUUAACACAUGCAAGUCGAACGACAUAGUGGCAGACGGGUGAGUAACGCGUGGGAACGUACCUUUCACUACGGAAUAGCUCUUGGAAACGAGUGGUAAUACCGUAUACGCCCUCUGGGGGAAAGAUUUAUCGGUGAAAGAUCGGCCCGCGUUAGAUUAGCUAGUUGGUAGGGUAAUGGCCUACCAAGGCGACGAUCUAUAGCUGGUCUGAGAGGAUGAUCAGCCACACUGGGACUGAGACACGGCCCAGACUCCUAUGGGAGGCAGCAGUGGGGAAUCUUGCACAAUGGGCGAAAGCCUGAUGCAGCCAUGCCGCGUGAAUGAUGAAGGCCUUAGGGUUGUAAAAUUCUUUCGCCAGGGAUGAUAAUGACAGUACCUGGUAAAGAAGCCCCGGCUAACUUCGUGCCAGCAGCCGCGGUAAUACGAAGGGGGCUAGCGUUGUUCGGAAUUACUGGGCGUAAAGCGCACGUAGGCGGACUUUUAAGUCAGAUGUGAAAUCCCGGGGCUCAACCUCGGAACUGCAUUUGAAACUGGAAGUCUAGAGACCAGGAGAGGUUAGCGGAAUACCGAGUGUAGAGGUGAAAUUCGUAGAUAUUCGGUGGAACACCAGUGGCGAAGGCGGCUAACUGGACUGGUACUGACGCUGAGGUGCGAAAGUGUGGGGAGCAAACAGGAUUAGAUACCCUGGUAGUCCACACCGUAAACGAUGAGAGCUAGUUGUUGGCAGGCAUGCCUGUCGGUGACGCAGCUAACGCAUUAAGCUCUCCGCCUGGGGAGUACGGUCGCAAGAUUAAAACUCAAAGAAAUUGACGGGGGCCCGCACAAGCGGUGGAGCAUGUGGUUUAAUUCGAAGCAACGCGCAGAACCUUACCUACCCUUGACAUCCCGAUCGCGGUUUCCAGAGAUGGAUUCCUUCAGUUAGGCUGGAUCGGUGACAGGUGCUGCAUGGCUGUCGUCAGCUCGUGUCGUGAGAUGUUGGGUUAAGUCCCGCAACGAGCGCAACCCUCAUCCUUAGUUGCCAUCACGUUUGGGUGGGCACUCUAAGGAAACUGCCGGUGGUAAGCCGGAGGAAGGUGGGGAUGACGUCAAGUCCUCAUGGCCCUUACGGGUAGGGCUACACACGUGCUACAAUGGCAGUGACAAUGGGUUAAUCCCCAAAAACUGUCUCAGUUCGGAUUGUCGUCUGCAACUCGACGGCAUGAAGGUGGAAUCGCUAGUAAUCGUGGAUCAGCAUGCCACGGUGAAUACGUUCCCGGGCCUUGUACACACCGCCCGUCACAUCAUGGGAAUUGGUUCUACCCGAAGACGCUGUGCUAACUUCGGAGGCAGGCGGCCACGGUAGGAUCAGUGACUGGGAUG
rnacentral:rRNA from 1 species